UACGGGGGGGGCAAGCGUUGUUCGGAAUUACUGGGCGUAAAGGGCUCGUAGGUUGCCAACUAAGUCAGACGUGAAAUCCCUCAGCUUAACUGGGGAACUGCGUCUGAUACUGGAUGGCUUGAGUUUGGGAGAGGGAUGCGGAAUUCCAGGUGUAGCGGUGAAAUGCGUAGAUAUCUGGAGGAACACCGGUGGCGAAGGCGGCAUCCUGGACCACGACUGACGCUGAGGCACGAAAGCGUGGGUAGCAAACAGG
rnacentral:rRNA from 1 species